UUUUUGCUCUUAGAUUCUUGUAUCUUUUGUUGGUUUCAAAUUUAUGUUUCUUAUCUAGAAGAAAAACAUAAACUAUGCAGCCAUCUGAAUGGUAAUUUUGUUACACUUUUUAUGGCUGCCAUUGGACUAGCUUGUGAGAAGAUUUUAGUGGUUCAUUUAUACUCUACACUGUAACUUUUCUUCUCAACUAAUAGUCCAGGACAAGUUUGUUAGAUGAAUUAUAUAAAUUUUUUUAUAAGUAAUGUGUAUAUAUUAAUGAGGCAAGCAAAAAGGAACACAACAACCUAUGUCACCUAUACAUCAAUCUACUCAAAAGAUUAAAAAUUUCAAAAAUUGGUUAAAAACCAAAUUUACAUCGCCCAAGAACCAACUAUACUAAAAAUGGUUUUUCAAUUUAAGGAUGGGAUAUUCCAAGCCAUCAAACGUACUCUGAUUAUCCUUUCUCCAAAUGAUCCACAUCAAACCCAAAGGAAGACUGGAUGAAGUGGUCUUAAUCAAAGUAGACCUCACCCCUUUUGAUAAAUACCGUCUCUUCCAGCCUGCCAGACACAUCUGGAACCUUUCUACCUCUGAGUUCCAAACUGAGUUUGCCUCAAAAGAGGAUCCAAGAGGGAGACCAAGUAUAAAGAAGGUAAAUGAUCAACUUUACAGCCAAAAAAUAUUUUUCAAAAAAAAAAAAAAAACUUUACAGCCAAUGCCCCCACAGGGGGAACCUCUCCAACUGGAAUAAGGCUAGACUUCCCCAAAUUUACUUUCAAGCUUGAAACUACCUUGAAGCAAAUAAGCAACAUUGAUUACCCAAAUACUGGGCCUUAGUCCCACAAAAAAUAAUAGUGUCAUUUGCGAGCAAGUGAGAGACCUUUAAAAGGGGAGCCAUCAAGCUGCUCAAUGUGAAAACCCUCCAAGAAACCAGGGAGGUUCUAUUUGCACACACCAUAUCCUCUUUUCUCACACAAUGAGAGAAUAUGUUGGAGAGUUGUGUGUGGAAGAUGUGUAUAGAGAGAGGUGUGUGUGUGUAAAUAGAUGCUCCCAAGAAACCACCUUGCACUGCCUCUCCAUCAUCCCACAAUGUCAUUAUUAUCCUCAAAGAUACUAAGUAUGGCUCUUUCAUACUUCUUGUAAGCUCCAAAAUACAGAGUUUGCCAAGUGUUUGAACAAGUUCAUAAGGUCAAUGAUUUUCCAUCAUUUACAUGUUCUAGUAACCGGUGUGCUUGACUUCCAUGUGCAUUGUAAAAACAAUCAAGAUAAGUGUUUUAUAAAUUUAUGUUGAUCUUCAUUUCUCUUUGUUUGGAUGUUCUAUUUCUGAUCUUGCAGUAAUUGCUGUGGCACUUCUUUGGAAGAACUUUCAGACCUACUCUAUGGCAGUUUAUCUCAUCACCACUACAUCAUUUUCCUUCAUUGGCUAGCUUAUUCUUUAUAUUUAACUAUAAGAAUGAUAUUGUGAUUGCAGACAAAGAAACUGUUCCAAACAGGCUUUUAUGCUGCCAUUAGUGCUGCAAUGCUAUGCUUCUAUUCCUAUGUGGUUUUGUCCGGAGGAAACCCACCACCAAAAAAGUUGAAAUCAUCUGCCGUUGCCCCAUCAUAAUCAGAACCAACGAAGCUCAUAUUAGAUUUUGAGGUUUACAGUUUGUUUGUUUUUUUUUUGGCUUGUGGCUUUCAAGUGAAUGUGAAGGUUGUUUUGUUUGUUUGACAUGAAGACUUGGUCAGUCAUGAGAAGAGGGGAAGUGUAAUCAUAGAACCGGGUUCUAAUUUGUAGGUUGCUUAAGUGAAAAUUAGAAGAAAGCUGUUUGCCGUGUCACCUAUGUUCUAAAAAAUAAAAGGAGGAACAGUUUGAUAUGUUCUCAUGUAAUCUACAUAUGGAUUGAUAUAACUUGCAUGCAAAUUGUUGAAAGGAACUUUUGAAUGGGUGAAAUGAUAGUGUUAUUGAAAUA